UAGCCGUCUGCCAUGGCGGGUGGGUGAAAGACCCGAGCUAACAUGGGGUUAGUUCGUUAAAUUACAAUAAAGCCUCGUGCAGUUUGCAGCAAGCUCUCGAAUCCGCCUGGUGAUUGGGGUGACCGCGAACCUGGCCUGAGACCCCGGAUACUUGAGUUUUCAGGGGUCUAACAUUUUGGGGGCUCGUCUGGGAUUUGCGACCACCCUUCACCUGAGUGGAUUCGAUCUUGGAGGUAAGAUGAUUAGAGCUCGCAAUUUAUAUAUGUUCAAUGUUCUAUGUUUCUUGUUUUGUCUCUUGCUGUGUUGUUGGUUUGGUGCCAUGAUUUGUAUUUGAUCUGCGCAGAAUUUGUAUUUGUAAUUCGGACUUCUGGGGAAGACCCUGAAGUCCUGCCCUGGAUGAAAGUCCGAGGGUUGCUUGAUUUGAUCUGCACAGAAUUUGUAAUUUGUAUUUGAUCUGCGCAGAAUUUGUAAUUGAACCAUAGGGUAAGCAGACUUGCGAGAACCUUGGUUCCACCCUGGAUGAAAGUCCAAGGUUUGGUUGUAAUUUUGGUUUGGGGCACCAUUUCUUUGCCGCGGUUUGUCCUGUCUAAUGUUUGUGCUGUCUAAUGUGCUGUCAUUUGUGUUAUGUGUUUCUUAAGCAUCUCUUUCUGUCCCACAUUGCCCAUGCACGUGGCAUGCAUGGGUCAGGGGUCUUUUCUUGUUGCCCUAAGCACAUGGCACGGGAAAGGAGUUCUGCCAUGUGUCACGGGUUAGAAUGUGUUAUGUUGGAGUCCCCCGAUGCUGCUUUUCUGAACUCGAACCACUGCUGCAGCCCUUACAGCUGAGCCUGGCCCAUGUAGGUUUCUGCUUCUGGCUGACAUCUGAGUAUCAGUUGCUAACUACAGGCUGUUCUAAGUAGACUGCGAGCCCUGGACUUGCUGUGGAUGUGAACCAGUCCAGCUGAUAUGGACACCCCCUGUCUCUGCAACAGUGUCUGCUAACCAGAAGCCCCUGAUGAAUUCCCCAUUGCCUAAAUUCCUUUUUGCUUUUGACUAGCAUUUCAACCUUCUGGGGUCCCUAACUUCGUCCCAAAGUCAGCAGGAAGCAGUUUGGAAAAGAAUUUCGCCGUCCAUUUUCCCUGGUUAAAAUGCUAAGUCAAAAGGAACUCCCUUGCAUGGGGAUGACAGUAUCUAUCACUCCCUGAUGGGGAUGCUAGAGAGACAGCAAUUCCAUGAUUGGAAUUUACAAAAAAGAAAAUGGGGGAAUGAAGGAACCGGCUUCCCUUUUGGCAGCCAUAACAGCCGAACAUGUGCUUGCCAUAUACCUGCCUUGGUCACUUAGAGGUCAGAUGCCUGUCUUGUGACAAGGAACCAAUCAGAAGUUAGCUGGUGGCGCUAUGCUUUACGACCCUGGGUGUGCUUUACGGACAAGCGCACAGCAAUGACGUAGAGAGCAUAGCAACCACCCUGGGAGGGCCUAUGAGCCAUAACAACCAGUUGACCAAUCAACACAGGGCAAGCCCUCCAAGCCUGGAGGCACACCAAUCAUGAGCCUGUGCGUAAGCCUGUGCGUACCCCUAGACACUCCCCUUACGCUGCCCUAUAAGAUCUUUG
rnacentral:lncRNA from 1 species